AGAGUUUGAUCCUGGCUCAGGACGAACGCUGGCGGCGUGCCUAACACAUGCAAGUCGAACGGACGAGGCCCCUUCGGGGACCGAGUUAGUGGCGGACGGGUGAGUAACGCGUGAGCAACCUGCCUUUCAGAGGGGGACAACAGUUGGAAACGACUGCUAAUACCGCAUGAUGCAGCGAGAUCGCAUGGUCUUGCUGUCAAAGAUUUAUCGCUGAAAGAUGGGCUCGCGUCUGAUUAGCUGGUUGGAGGGGUAACGGCCCACCAAGGCGACGAUCAGUAGCCGGACUGAGAGGUUGAACGGCCACAUUGGGACAGAGAUACGGCCCAGACUCCUACGGGAGGCAGCAGUGGGGAAUAUUGGGCAAUGGGGGAAACCCUGACCCAGCAACGCCGCGUGAAGGAAGAAGGCUUUCGGGUUGUAAACUUCUUUUACCAGGGACGAAGAACGUGACGGUACCUGGAGAAAAAGCCACGGCUAACUACGUGCCAGCAGCCGCGGUAAUACGUAGGUGGCAAGCGUUGUCCGGAUUUACUGGGUGUAAAGGGCGUGUAGGCGGAGCUGCAAGUCAGAUGUGAAAUCUGGGGGCUUAACCCUCAAACUGCAUUUGAAACUGUAGCCCUUGAGUAUCGGAGAGGCAGGCGGAAUUCCUAGUGUAGCGGUGAAAUGCGUAGAUAUUAGGAAGAACACCAGUGGCGAAGGCGGCCUGCUGGACGACAACUGACGCUGAGGCGCGAAAGCGUGGGGAGCAAACAGGAUUAGAUACCCUGGUAGUCCACGCUGUAAACGAUGAAUACUAGGUGUGGGGGGACUGACCCCCUCCGUGCCGGAGUUAACACAAUAAGUAUUCCACCUGGGGAGUACGACCGCAAGGUUGAAACUCAAAGGAAUUGACGGGGGCCCGCACAAGCAGUGGAUUAUGUGGUUUAAUUCGACGCAACGCGAAGAACCUUACCGGGAUUUGACAUCCUACUAACGAAGCAGAGAUGCAUUAGGUGCCCUUCGGGGAAAGUAGAGACAGGUGGUGCAUGGUUGUCGUCAGCUCGUGUCGUGAGAUGUUGGGUUAAGUCCCGCAACGAGCGCAACCCCUAUUGUUAGUUGCUACGCAAGAGCACUCUAGCGAGACUGCCGUUGACAAAACGGAGGAAGGCGGGGACGACGUCAAAUCAUCAUGCCCCUUAUGUCCCGGGCUACACACGUAAUACAAUGGCGGUCAACAAAGGGAAGCAAAGCCGCGAGGCAGAGCAAACCCCCAAAAGCCGUCUCAGUUCGGAUUGCAGGCUGCAACUCGCCUACAUGAAGCUGGAAUUGCUAGUAAUCGUGGAUCAGAAUGCCACGGUGAAUACGUUCCCGGGCCUUGUACACACCGCCCGUCACACCAUGAGAGUCGGGAACACCCGAAGUCCGUAGUCUAACCCGCAAGGGAGGGCGCGGCCGAAGGUGGGUCUGAUAAUUGGGGUGAAGUCGUAACAAGGUA
rnacentral:rRNA from 1 species